CGGAGGGUGCAAGCGUUAUCCGGAUUCACUGGGUUUAAAGGGUGCGUAGGUGGGUUGGUAAGUCAGUGGUGAAAUCCCCGAGCUUAACUUGGGAACUGCCAUUGAUACUAUCAGUCUUGAAUACCGUGGAGGUCGGCGGAAUAUGUCAUGUAGCGGUGAAAUGCUUAGAUAUGACAUAGAACACCAAUUGCGAAGGCAGCUGACUACGCGAGUAUUGACACUGAGGCACGAAAGCGUGGGGAUCAAACAGGAUUAGAUACCCUGGUAGUCCACGCCCUAAACUAUGGAUACUCGACAUACGCGAUACACUGUGUGUGUCUGAGCGAAAGCAUUAAGUAUCCCACCUGGGAAGUACGAUCGCAAGAUUG
rnacentral:rRNA from 1 species